CUUCCCCCCGGAGAAGGGGACGGCUGGUUUAGUCCGGUCCUCAAGCGUACAAGCUGCAGCUGUGCUCGGCCCUGGAGAUGGAAACAGAGUUUCUUGUCCUUAUAGACCAAGGAAACUGGCCUAAGGUAGCCAAGUUUACUUGAGGGAAUGUACGGAGGCCCUACCAGAGGCGACAGUGCUGAAAUCUGUGGGGGGCAGAAACGUCCCUGUAACCUGUCACCUUA